rnacentral:misc_RNA from 1 species
GAAAUGCGAUAAGUAAUGUGAAUUGCAGAAUUCAGUGAAUCAUCGAAUCUUUGAACGCACAUUUCGCCCGUCAGCAUUCUGGCGGGCAUGCCUGUUCGAGCGUCAUUUCAACCCUCAGGACCCCCCUUUCGCGGGGAGGGACCUGGCGUUGGGGAUCGGCCCGCCCCCCGCGGCGGCGCCGUCCCCGAAAUCUAGUGGCGGUCUCGCUGCAGCCUCCCCUGCGUAGUAGUUACAACCUCGCAUCGGAGCGCGGCGCGGCCACGCCGUAAAACCCCCGACUUUCUGAACGUUGACCUCGGAUCAGGUAGGAAUACCCGCUGAACUUAAGC